CCUACGGGUGGCAGCAGUGAGGAAUAUUGGUCAAUGGGCGUAAGCCUGAACCAGCCAAGUCGCGUGAGGGAUGAAGGUUCUAUGGAUCGUAAACCUCUUUUAUCAGGGAGUAAAGUGUGGGACGUGUCCUAUUUUGGAUGUACCUUAUUAAUAAGGAUCGGCCAACUCCGGUCCAGCAGCCGCGGUAAUACGGAGGAUUCGAGCGUUAUUCGGAUUUAUUGGGUUUAAAGGGUGCGUAUGGGGCCUUUUAAGUCAGCGGUGAAAGUCGGUGGCUCAACCCUCGAAUUGCCGUUGAAACUGGGGGGCGUGAGUAUGUUAGAGGUAGGCGGAAUGCGGGGUGUAGCGGUGAAAUGCUUAGAUAUCACGCAGAACCCCGAUUGCGAAGGCAGCCU
rnacentral:rRNA from 1 species